rnacentral:lncRNA from 1 species
GAGGCCGAGGUCCUGUGGUUGAGCCGCCGCGCAUCCCACCCAGGCGCGGGAGCCGCGGGCCAGCAAUGCUGUGGGGUGGCCGAGGAGGCGCGCAGGGCUCCCUGGCCGACUGAGGUCCAGCUUGGGGAACCUGCGGAAGUGACCAGAGUGGCAGAACUCGGGGACAUAGAAGUCGAAGGGACCCAAUCUCCGAGGAGUUGAGAUCGGUCUCGCUGGGGUCGAUGGCUGCUACCUAGAUUCAUUUGGUUUGGCAAAUGUUCAUUGAAGGCAGUCUUUUCUGUGCUAACCACUGGAAACCAGAAGAUGAAUAAGAGAAGGCCCUGCCCUCGUGGGCAUUGUGUGCUUUCAAUGACUUAGAGAAAGCCAGUGGGUGCUGUGGGUGAUGCUGCCAAACCAAAGACCUAAACCACAGAGCAUGGGCCCAGAAAAACAAGUUUUAAACAGCCUAAAAAGAAAAGCAGUAUCUACCCAGAUAACGCAGAGAUUUUCUCUCUGGUGUUUAUGGUCCCCAAGUCCUCUGUCACCGAUGAGCCGGAUUUCUAGCUUACCUGAUGAAUGCUGAGCUUUCACAUCACUUCAUCCUGAGGAGACAAGGUCAUACUGAAAUAAUUUUCCUUUCAUUGAAAGCAAAACGCCAAUACCCCUAGAAU